AAAUCCUAAGGGCAAAGGAAGCUGAAGCUAAAGCUCUGGCCGAUGCUGCUGCUGCUGCUGAAGCUGAAGCACAGGCUGCUGCUGAAGCUGAAGCAAAGGCCGCUGCUGAAGCACAGCAGGCUCUGACUCAGGGGGAGUCCUCAUCUGUUGUUCCUAUGGUUCUUCAGACGCUGGAAGAACUGAAGAAAGAUCAGAAGGAACUCCGUGCCAGAAUGGAUAAACAAGACACUGUCAACGA
rnacentral:lncRNA from 1 species